rnacentral:rRNA from 1 species
GACGAACGCUGGCGGCGUGCUUAACACAUGCAAGUCGAACGGAAAGGCCCUGCUUUUGUGGGGUGCUCGAGUGGCGAACGGGUGAGUAACACGUGAGUAACCUGCCCUUGACUUUGGGAUAACUUUAGGAAACUGGGGCUAAUACCGGAUAGGAGCUCCUGCUGCACGGUGGGGGUUGGAAAGUUUCGGCGGUUGGGGAUGGACUCGCGGCUUAUCAGCUUGUUGGUGGGGUAGUGGCUUACCAAGGCUUUGACGGGUAGCCGGCCUGAGAGGGUGACCGGCCACAUUGGGACUACGAUACGGCCCAGACUCCUACGGGACGCAGCAGUGGGGAAUAUUGCACAGUGGGCGGAAGCCUGAUGCAGCAGCGCCGCGUGCGGGAUGACGGCCUUCGGGUUGUAAACCGCUUUCGCCUGUGACGAAGCGUGAGUGACGGUAAUGGGUAAAGAAGCACCGGCUAACUACGUG